AUUGAACGCUGGCGGCAUGCCUUACACAUGCAAAUCGAACGGUAACGGGCCUUCGGGUGCCGACGAGUGGCGAACGGGUGAGUAAUACAUCGGAACGUGCCCGAUCGUGGGGGAUAACGAGGCGAAAGCUUUGCUAAUACCGCAUACGAUCUACGGAUGAAAGCAGGGGACCGCAAGGCCUUGCGCGGACGGAGCGGCCGAUGGCAGAUUAGGUAGUUGGUGGGAUAAAAGCUUACCAAGCCGACGAUCUGUAGCUGGUCUGAGAGGAUGAUCAGCCACACUGGGACUGGGGCACCGCCCAGGCUCCUACCGGAGGCAGGAGUGGGGAAAUUUGGACAAUGGGCGCAAGCCUGAUCCAGCCAUGCCGCGUGCAGGAUGAAGGCCUUCGGGUUGUAAACUGAUUUUGUACGGAACGAAAAGCCUUCUUUUAAUACAGGAGGGUCAUGACGGUACCGUAAGAAUAAGCACCGGCUAACUACGUG
rnacentral:rRNA from 1 species